CAGGCUAAAUCCUAGGUGUAUGGUACAGUGAUUCAACAACUCUGUACAUCACUCAAUGCUGAUCACAGACUACUGUAGUGGUAAAGAAGACAGCUGGAAG